GUCACAUUUAAAAAAAAAUACAUUAUUAAAUAGUGAUUUGAUAUCAUUUCAACUACAUAUUCAUCAAUAAAAUAAUGUUACACGUAAAUCCAAAACUUUUCUUUAUUUCUUAACCACACAUUUUCCAUAAAUACAAUAUUCAAAAAUGCAUUAUAACAAAAAUAAUGUGGCUCAAAUUAGGGCUUAAAAGUAAAAACAUUUGGAAAAGAAUUACGCCUAAGUUAAGCUUAGCCAAACACGGUGCAAGAAAAUUUGAGGCUCAGAUCUGUGCAGGUGAAGAGAGAGAGAGAAUCCGACCACGCCAUGGCUGCGAAUUCCGGUUGCAACAAACAAACCCUAAUUUGAUGCCAUCCGGGUCGCCAUGCCAAGAUACGUGUCGAUUUAUCUCAAUUCCCAAUCGGAUUUAGCUCAGCAAGAGGAAAGUAAUCAUCACAGCCUCAUAUUCAGCAGAUCACAGCAUCGGUGAGAGCAAAACUGUGGUGUGAAUAUAAAGAUCAAUGGCAAGUUAUCUGUGUAUAUAUAUACGUACAACAUAUGUUUUUCUCCUUCGAAUUUAAGGGCUGUUGAUUUGAUUUAAUGGAGAAAUCACUGGUAAAAAGAGAGGGGCAACCACCCUUAGAGAAAUCCCAUCUCUCUUUAGCCUCAUUCUCGUCUUGAUGCCGAGCUUAUUGAUUCUUGCUUAUGGCCCGGAUCAGAUGUAUGUUUCUAUUUGGAGUGCAGAGUAUGUUCCAAUUUCACCCUUGAUCAAGUUAAUAUUUGCAUCUUUGUGAAAGGUUGUGUUGUGUGGGUAGAGGUUAGUAUGGUAAUUGACAAUGUUUGUGCCUUGUUUGGCUUUUUUCUUGAUUGGGCUUCAAAUUCUUUUUCUUUUUGUCUUUUUUUGGUGGUAAAUUACAAAGUGAGGAAGAAUAUGCUUUAACUAACAGAGUUCAGACAAGGUGAGCUAGUUGAAGAAUUAUUAAUUUAUUGUCAAUUAAUCUGCUUUGCGUUGAUAACAAUUCUUUCUUGGAAUUAACUAAUGUUUAUUUUUUUUUAAGGAUAUUCAGACAAAAGCAACUCUUCUAAAGUGUGACACGAUUGACUCUUUCUAUUUAAUUCAUCCGUUGUAAAAGUUUGCACUACACAAAAAAGAGAAUAAUAGAGGUGCU
rnacentral:lncRNA from 1 species